UGGGGAAUAUUGGGCAAUGGGCGAAAGCCUGACCCAGCGACGUCGCGUGGGUGAUGAAGGCCUUCGGGUUGUAAAGCCCUUUCGUGCGGAAAGAACAGCCCUGUAGUUAAUACCUGCAGGGUUUGACGGUACCGCAGGAAGAAGCACCGGCUAACUCCGUGCCAGCAGCCGCGGUAAUACGGAGGGUGCAAGCGUUGUUCGGAAUUAUUGGGCGUAAAGGGCGCGUAGGUGGUUGUGAUAGUCAGAUGUGAAAUCCUUUGGCUUAACUGAAGAACUGCAUCUGAAACUUCAUAACUCGAGUACAGGAGAGGGAAACGGAAUUCCCGGUGUAGAGGUGAAAUUCGUAGAUAUCGGGAGGAACACCAGUGGCGAAGGCGGUUUCCUGGUCUGAUACUGACACUGAGGCGCGAAAGCGUGGGGAGCAAACAG
rnacentral:rRNA from 1 species